CCAACGGCCCUCUUUAGGGCCACGAACAGAUAAACCAAGCUCUGU
rfam:Toxocara canis C1978701, whole genome shotgun sequence.